rnacentral:rRNA from 1 species
AUUGAACGCUGGCGGCAGGCCUAACACAUGCAAGUCGAACGAGUGGCGGACGGGUGAGUAAUGUCUGGGAAACUGCCUGAUGGAGGGGGAUAACUACUGGAAACGGUAGCUAAUACCGCAUACCAUCGGAUGUGCCCAGAUGGGAUUAGCGAGUAGGUUGGGGAAAGGCUCACCUAGGCGACGAUCCCGCGCUGGUCUGAGAGGAUGAACAGCCACACUGGAACUGAGACACUGUCCAGACUCCUACGGGAGGCCGCAGUGGGGAAUAUUGCACAAUGGGCGCAAGCCUGAUGCAGCCAUGCCGCGUGUAUGAAGAAGGCCGUCGGGUUGUAAAGUACUUUCAGCGGGGAGGCGUUACCCGCAGAAGAAGCGCCGGCUAACUCCGUGCCAGCAGCCGAGGUAAUUC